AUUGAACGCUGGCGGCAGGCCUAACACAUGCAAGUCGAGCGAGCGGCGGACUGGUGAGUAAUGUCUGGGAAACUGCCUGAUUGAUGGGGAUAACUACUGUAAACCUUAGCUAAUACCGCAUACCAUCAGAUCUGCCCAGCUGGGAUUAGCUAGUAGGUGGGGUAACGGCUCACCUAGGCGACGAUCCCUAGCUGGUCUGAGAGGAUGACCAGCCACACUGGGACUGAGACACGGUCCAGACUCCUACGGGAGGCAGCAGUGGGGAAUAUUGCACAAUGGGCGAAAGGCUGAUGCAGCCAUGCCGCGUGUAUGAAGAAGGCCUUCGGGUUGUAAAGUACGUUCAGCGGGGAGGCGUUACCCGCAGAAGAAGCACCGGCUAACUCCGUGCCAGCAGCCGCGGUAAUAC
rnacentral:rRNA from 1 species